UAGGGAGACCAACUGUUCAAGUUUGCUUGAGUCUAAGGGGUUUCCUAGGAUAUGGAACUUUCAGUGAUAAAACUGGUACAGUCAGUUUCAGGCAAACUGAGAUGGUUGGUCACCCUAAUACCUG
rnacentral:pre_miRNA from 1 species